GACGAACGCUGGCGGCGUGCCUAAUACAUGCAAGUCGAACGCAGUGGGGACGGGUGAGUAACACGUGGGUAACCUCCCAUCAGAGGGGAUAACACUUGGAAACAGGUGCUAAACCGAUCCUGAUGGAUGGACCCGCGGUGCAUUAGCUAGUUGGUGAGGUAACGGCUCACCAAGGCCACGCUGCAUAGCCGACCGUAGAUGGUACUCAGCCACAGUGGUACAAAGACACGGCCCAGACUCCAACGGGAGGAAGCAGUAGGGAAUCUUCGGCAAUGGACGGAAGUCUGACCGAGCAACGCCGCGUGAGUGAAGAAGGUUUUCGGAUCGUAAAUCUCUGUUGUUAGAGAAACGAUAUCUAACCAGAAAGCCACGGCUAACUACGUGCCAGCCGCCGCGGUAAUAC
rnacentral:rRNA from 1 species